rnacentral:rRNA from 1 species
GCUGGCGGCAUGCCUUACACAUGCAAGUCGAACGGCAGCAUGAUCUAGCUUGCUAGAUUGAUGGCGAGUGCCGAACGGGUGAGUAAUACAUCGGAACGUGCCCUGUAGUGGGGGAUAACUAGUCGAAAGAUUAGCUAAUACCGCAUACGACCUGAGGGUGAAAGUGGGGGACCGCAAGGCCUCAUGCUAUAGGAGCGGCCGAUGUCNNNNNNGCUAGUUGGUGAGGUAAAGGCUCACCAAGGCGACGAUCAGUAGCUGGUCUGAGAGGACGAUCAGCCACACUGGGACUGAGACACGGCCCAGACUCCUACGGGAGGCAGCAGUGGGGAAUUUUGGACAAUGGGCGAAAGCCUGAUCCAGCAAUGCCGCGUGUGUGAAGAAGGCCUUCGGGUUGUAAAGCACUUUUGCCCGGAAAGAAAUGGCCUUGGUUAAUACCUGAGGUCGAUGACGGUACCGGAAGAAUAAGGACCGGCUAACUACGUGCCAGCAGCCGCGGUAAUACGUAGGGUCCAAGCGUUAAUCGGAAUUACUGGGCGUAAAGCGUNNNCAGGCGGUUGUGCAAGACCGAUGUGAAAUCCCCGGGCUUAACCUGGGA